AUGGAGGAUGAAGGCAUGGAGGCUCGGGAGGAUGCCGCCACCGUGCCGCCUUGGAUGGCGGCGCGGAGCUCGCCAAGAGGACGCCCAUCACCAACACCCAGUACCGCAGAGAAUCGUGGCGUGGAGCUCGCAAGGAGGACACCACCAACGUCAACAUCAUCAAGCUGGACCGGAGGCAUGGAGCUCCCGAGGAUGCCACCGCGUGCCGCGAAGGACGACGGAGGCAUGGAGCUCGCGGGACAUCACCACCAAUGUGUACCUCGUCAAGAUGGAGCCCGCGACACGGAGCCAAUAAUAUAA
rnacentral:rRNA from 1 species